CCUACGGGAGGCAGCAGUGGGGAAUAUUGCACAAUGGGGGGAACCCUGAUGCAGCGACGCCGCGUGAGUGAAGAAGUAUUUCGGUAUGUAAAGCUCUAUCAGCAGGGAAGAAAAUGACGGUACCUGACUAAGAAGCCCCGGCUAACUACGUGCCAGCAGCCGCGGUAAUACGUAGGGGGCAAGCGUUAUCCGGAUUUACUGGGUGUAAAGGGAGCGUAGGCGGAUAUGUAAGAUAGCGGUGAAAUGCCGGGGCUCAACCCCGGAACUGCCAUUAUGACUAUGUAUCUAGAGUAAUGGAGAGGAUAGCGGAAUACCCAGUGUAGAGGGGAAAUUCGGAGAUAUUGGGUAGAACACCGGUGGCGAAGGCGGCUAUCUGGCCAUUUACUGACGCUGAGGCUCGAAAGCAUGGGGAUCAAACAGGAUUAGAUACCCUGGUAGUC
rnacentral:rRNA from 1 species